AUUGAACGCUGGCGGCAUGCCUUACACAUGCAAGUCGAACGGCAGCACGGGGGCAACCCUGGUGGCGAGUGGCGAACGGGUGAGUAACGCAUCGGAAUGUACCCAGUAGUGGGGGAUAACUAGUCGAAAGAUUAGCUAAUACCGCAUACGCACUGAGGUGGAAAGCGGGGGAUCGCAAGACCUCGCGCUAUUGGAGCAGCCGAUGUCCGAUUAGGUAGUUGGUGGGGUAAAGGCCUACCAAGCCUGCGAUCGGUAACUGGUCUGAGAGGACGACCAGUCACACUGGGACUGAGACACGGCCCAGACUCCUACGGGAGGCAGCAGUGGGGAAUUUUGGACAAUGGGCGCAAGCCUGAUCCAGCAAUGCCGCGUGUGUGAAGAAGGCCUUCGGGUUGUAAAGACUCUGUCUGGAGGGACGGAAGGAAGUAGGACGGUACCUCCGGACGGAAGACCGACGGCUAACUACGUAGCCACGCAGCCGCGGUAAAGAGUAGUACA
rnacentral:rRNA from 1 species